rnacentral:rRNA from 1 species
CACGUAGGGCGCAAGCGUUGUCCGGAAUUAUUGGGCGUAAAGAGCUCGUAGGCGGUCUGCCACGUCCGCUGUGAAAACCUAGGGCUUAACCCUGGGCUUGCAGUAGAUACGGGCAGACUAGAGGUAGGUAGGGGAGAAUGGAAUUCCCGGUGUAGCGGUGAAAUGCGUAGAUAUCAGGAAGAACACCCGUGGCUAAGGCGGCUCUCUAGUACGGUACUGACGCUGAGACGCGAAAGCGUGGGGAGCGAACAGG